GCCUACGCCGACGCCGGUGGCCGCGCGACGCGACGCGGGCCGCCCCCGGACGCCUGCCCCACAGCCGGAUUCGAGCUCCCGGUCGAGUGCCACAGCGAUAGCGUACGCCAAGGACUACGGAGGUGCGUGUUCCUCCAGCGCCAUUCCACCUUGAGAAACAUGAGCGCUACCCCACGCGAGGAAGCUUAAAAAGAAAGUUUGAAGUGCGACUGCAAGGUUGAUGACUGAGUCAGAUGGAACACUGGCCUAUAUAAUCAAGGU